rnacentral:rRNA from 1 species
GAUGAACGCUAGCGGCAGGCCUAAUACAUGCAAGUCGAACGGGUGGUCGCAAGACCACUAGUGGCGCACGGGUGCGUAACGCGUAACCAACCUGCCCCGAUCUGGGGGAUAGCCCGCCGAAAGGCGGAUUAAUACCGCAUAUACCCGCAGCCUGGCAUCAGGCAACGGGGAAAGAUUUAUUGGAUCGGGAUGGGGUUGCGUGACAUUAGCUAGUUGGCGGGGUAAGGGCCCACCAAGGCGACGAUGUCUAGGGGACCUGAGAGGGUGAUCCCCCACACUGGCACUGAGAUACGGGCCAGACUCCUACGGGAGGCAGCAGUAGGGAAUAUGGGGCAAUGGGCGAGAGCCUGACCCAGCCAUGCCGCGUGCCGGAUGAAGGCCUUCUGGGUUGUAAACGGCUUUUCUCAGGGAAGAAAAAGACCUUGCGAGGUACACUGACGGUACCUGAGGAAUAAGCACCGGCUAACUCCGUG